rnacentral:rRNA from 1 species
UACGGAGGGUGCUAGCGUUGUUCGGAAUUACUGGGCGUAAAGGGCGCGUAGGCGGCCUGGUCAGUCGGAUGUGAAAGCCCCGGGCUCAACCUGGGAAUGGCAGUGGAAACUAGCGAGCUAGAGUGUGUCAGAGGGGGGUGGAAUUCCACGUGUAGCAGUGAAAUGCGUAGAGAUGUGGAGGAACACCAAUGGCGAAGGCAGCCCCCUGGGAUAACACUGACGCUCAGGCACGAAAGCGUGGGGAGCAAACAGG